rnacentral:rRNA from 1 species
AUUGAACGCUGGCGGCAGGCCUAACACAUGCAAGUCGAACGAGUGGCGGACGGGUGAGUAAUGUCUGGGAAACUGCCUGAUGGAGGGGGAUAACUACUGGAAACGGUAGCUAAUACCGCAUACCAUCGGAUGUGCCCAGAUGGGAUUAGCUAGUAGGUGGGGUAAAGGCUCACCUAGGCGACGAUCCCUAGCUGGUCUGAGAGGAUGACCAGCCAAACUGAAACCGAGAAACAGUCCAGACACCUACGGGAGUCAGCAGUGGGGAAUAUUGCACAAUGGGCGCAAGCAUGAUGGAGCCAUGCCGCAUGUAUGAAGAAGGCCUUCGGGUUGUAAAGUACUUUCAGCGGGGAGGCGUUACCCGCAGAAGAAGCACCGGCUAACUCCGUGCCAGCAGCCGCGGUAAUUC